CGGCAAGGUCAAUCUAAGGUUUAGAUCCCAUCAUAUGAACUGAAAUCAAGACAAUCGAAGGCUUGCCACUGAUCGCAUGUGAAAAUGGAUGUUAUUUUGAGCACCAUGUUUAAAGAACAUAUGGUACUAUAGGCCUACAGACAGAUAUGUGGGAAGCUCUAAACACGCGAUGUUCCAUAAAAGGUAUGAAAGGCUGGCUUUAGCGUGGAUAUUUUUUGGGUCUUAGAGGCAGCAAUCACGUGGUUUUACUUUUACACUACACAUCCUGAGAAUGGACAUUUUUUACAUGAACUGGCGUUGAAGCGGCAGGUUUGAUUUUGUGGCUAUAUUUGCAGUGGAGUGAAGUGAGAAGAUGUGUACAAUCGACACAAGUUUACCCUUCACCUUUAUACUGGAGAAUACCUUGCCAAAUACCUUACCAACUGCACCUUACCAAAUACCCUACCAACUGCACCCUGCACCAUAUCGAUGAUUUUGUAACAGUGUAGAGUUUUGUUUUUACCAUCACGUGUUAUCCUGCACCUUGCAGCCAAGUUCAAUACAAUCUCUGAUCAUUCAAUCCUUAGUUUUAGAGCUGUUGUAUAUUUAUUAUCUCGCCACUAUAAGGACUUCGAAGGGUGAAAAUAUAAAAAAAAUAUAAAGCAUAGUAACCUAAAUAACUUCAACUUAUAAUAUUACAUUAAACAUCAUUUUUUUUCAAAUCGAUAAUCAAUUUAGAAUCCUUUGUAAUUUGGAAUACCUAGGACAAAUUUAAUUUUUGUUGCUUUGAAGCAAUUAGCUUGAUUAUUUGAAAAAUUGUUUUGAGGCAUUGUUUAU